rnacentral:rRNA from 1 species
UGCGUAGGCGGGUCGGCAGGUCGGAUGUGAAAACCCCACGGCUUAACCGGGGGCCUGCAUUCGAAACCGCCGAUCUUGAGUACGGGAGAGGAAAGCGGAAUUCCUGGUGUAGCGGUGAAAUGCGUAGAUAUCAGGAAGAACACCGGUGGCGAAGGCGGCUUUCUGGCCCGAUACUGACGCUCAGGCACGAAGGCUAGGGGAGCAAACA